UCAUUACCGAGUUAUCCAACUCCCAACCCCUGUGAAUCAUACCUUUAAUUGUUGCUUCGGCGGGACUUCGCGCCCGCCGGGGACCCGAACCUUCUGAAUUUUUUAAUAAGUAUCUUCUGAGUGGUUAAAAAAAUGAAUCAAAACUUUCAACAACGGAUCUCUUGGUUCUGGCAUCGAUGAAGAACGCAGCGAAAUGCGAUAAGUAAUGUGAAUUGCAGAAUUCAGUGAAUCAUCGAAUCUUUGAACGCACAUUGCGCCCGUCAGUAUUCUGGCGGGCAUGCCUGUUCGAGCGUCAUUACGCCCCUCAAGUCCCCUGUGGACUUGGUGUUGGGGAUCGGCGAGGCUGGUUUUCCAGCACAGCCGUCCCUUAAAUUAAUUGGCGGUCUCGCCGUGGCCCCUCCUCUGCGCAGUAGUAAAACACUCGCAACAGGAGCCCGGCGCGGUCCACUGCCGUAAAACCCCCCAACUUUUUAUAGUUGACCUCGAAUCAGGUAGGACUACCC
rnacentral:rRNA from 1 species